rnacentral:misc_RNA from 1 species
AACCAAGAGUGCAAAAAAACAAAAGCUUCCAUUGCGAUUUGGGAGAACGAACAACGAUGGUGAAACAAUGGUAACUCUUAUCAAGAUUAGCAAUGGAGAAAUGGGGGGCAAGGAAAGACCAAGAGAGAUGCCAAACACGAAUGAUUCCUCAAUUAUGAUUCCUAAGAAUAACAAGAGUGGGCUACAAAUUGGUAUUUUAGUUGCUGGUGCUACAAGUUCAACUUUUGGGCUCAUUAUUCUAGCAAUUUCUGUUGCUCUUAUUUUCAAACACCGUGUUUCUAUAUUCAAAGUACUCUCUAACAAGGCAAAUGGAG